UACGUAGGGCGCAAGCGUUAUCCGGAAUUAUUGGGCGUAAAGAGCUCGUAGGCGGUUUGUCGCGUCUGCCGUGAAAGUCCGGGGCUCAACUCCGGAUCUGCGGUGGGUACGGGCAGACUAGAGUGUGUAGGGGAGACUGGAAUUCCUGGUGUAGCGGUGAAAUGCGCAGAUAUCAGGAGGAACACCAGAGUGGAAGGCAGUCUCUGGGCCACUACUCUGAGAAGCGAAAGCUGGGGAGCGAACAGG
rnacentral:rRNA from 1 species